rnacentral:rRNA from 1 species
AUUGAACGCUGGCGGCAGGCCUAACACAUGCAAGUCGAACGGUAACAGGAAGAAGCUUGCUUCUUUGCUGACGAGUGGCGGACGUGAGAGUCAUGUCUGGGAAACUGCUUGAUGGAGGGGGAUAACUACUGGAAACGGUAGCUAAUACCGCAUAAUGUCUCAAGACCAAAGAGGGGGACCUUCGGGCCUCUUGCCAUCGGAUGUGCCCAGAUGGGAUUAGCUAGUAGGUGGGGUAACGGCUCACCUAGGCGACGAUCCCUAGCUGGUCUGAGAGGAUGACCAGCCACACUGGAACUGAGACACGGUCCAGACUCCUACGGGAGGCAGCAGUGGGGAAUAUUGCACAAAGGGCGCAAGCCUGAUGCAGCUAUGCCGCGUGUAUGAAGAAGGCCUUCGGGUUGUAAAGUACUUUCAGCGGGGAGGAAGGGAGUAAAGUUAAUACCUUUGCACAUUGACGUUACCCGCAGAAGAAGCACCGGCUAACUCCGUG